rnacentral:rRNA from 1 species
UACAGAGGGGGCAAGCGUUGUUCGGAAUUACUGGGCGUAAAGGGCGCGUAGGCGGCCACCGCAAGUCGACUGUGAAAUCUCCGGGCUUAACCCGGAAAGGUCAGCUGAUACUGCGGGGCUAGAGUGCAGAAGGGGCAACUGGAAUUCUCGGUGUAGCGGUGAAAUGCGUAGAUAUCGAGAGGAACACCUGCGGCGAAGGCGGGUUGCUGGGCUGACACUGACGCUGAGGCGCGAAAGCUAGGGGAGCGAACGGG